rnacentral:rRNA from 1 species
CAGCCGCCGCGGGAAAACGUAGGUGGCAAGCGUUGUCCGGAAUUAUUGGGCGUAAAGGGCUCGCAGGCGGUUUCUUAAGUCUGAUGUGAAAGCCCCCGGCUCAACCGGGGAGGGUCAUUGGAAACUGGGAAACUUGAGUGCAGAAGAGGAGAGUGGAAUUCCACGUGUAGCGGUGAAAUGCGUAGAGAUGUGGAGGAACACCAGUGGCGAAGGCGACUCUCUGGUAUGUAACUGACGCUGAGGAGCGAAAGCGUGGGGAGCGAACAGGAUUAGAUACCCCAGUAGUCCCUGUCUCUUAUAC